rnacentral:rRNA from 1 species
UACGUAGGGUGCAAGCGUUAAUCGGAAUUACUGGGCGUAAAGCGUGCGCAGGCGGUUUUGUAAGUUUGUCGUGAAAGCCCCGGGCUCAACCUGGGAAUUGCGAUGAAGACUGCAAGGCUAGAGUGUGUCAGAGGGGGGUAGAAUUCCACGUGUAGCAGUGAAAUGCGUAGAUAUGUGGAGGAACACCGAUGGCGAAGGCAGCCCCCUGGGAUAACACUGACGCUCAGGCACGAAAGCGUGGGGAGCAAACAGG